rnacentral:lncRNA from 7 species
AAUCUUACUGAAUGUCUGAACAGAUAGAAUUAAAUAGUUUAGUAAUAAGAAUCAUAGAACCAUAGAGCCAUUAGGUUGGGAAAGACCACUAAGAUCAUCCAAUCCAAGCAUCAGGGAUAUCACAUCUUAAAAGGGUGGCUAAAAAUAGCAUGCUUAGUGUCCACUGCAUACAAAUGAUAAUACAAAGCUGUGACUGAAUACAGGGAUGCAGCCCUCACAAGGAAGGGCCACCUCUGAAGGUCCACUUCAGUACAGCCUGGCACCAACACAGACGGACGUCAACAGCAGUUACAACAGGGGAGGAGGGAGAAGCUGUACCAACCAAGCUGGACAGAGCAACAGAGAGUCCUGAGAAAUCACACUCUGCAACACUGCUCUUCUGAGUGGCACUUAUGAUGUGUUACAACUGAGAGUUCCUUUCUUCUGGGAGGAUGUUGAAUUGAAUACCCAAAAGGCUGUCUAUCAUCCCAACCGUGCUGAUGGAGAGCAAGCUCCUGCUAUUCAGCUGAGCCCAGCUGUUGGUUCCAGCUGGGAUGUUGCACCUUUCUACUCAGAGUAGGAAACACAAAUGAAAUGCUCCAUCAU